rnacentral:rRNA from 1 species
AAGACCUUGCACUUUUGGAGCGGCCGAUGUCUGAUUAGCUAGUUGGUGGGGUAAAGGCCUACCAAAGCUUCGAUCAGUAGCUGGUCUGAGAGGACGGCCAGCCACACUGGGACUGAGACACGGCCCAGACUCCUACGGGAGGCAGCAGUGGGGAAUUUUGGACAAUGGGCGCAAGCCUGAUCCAGCCAUGCCGCGUGAGUGAAGAAGGCCUUCGGGUUGUAAAGCUCUUUCAGCCGGGAAGAAAAGGCUGCGACUAAUAAUCGCAGUUCAUGACGGUACCGGAAGAAGAAGCACCGGCUAACUACGUGCCAGCAGCCGCGGUAAUACGUAGGGUGCGAGCGUCAAUCGGAAUUACUGGGCGUAAAGGGUGCGCAGGCGGUUUUGUAAGUCAGAUGUGAAAUCCCCGGGCUUAACCUGGGAACU